rnacentral:rRNA from 1 species
GACGAACGCUGGCGGCGUGCCUAAUACAUGCCAGUUGAGCACUGAAGGUUGGUACUUGUACCAACUGGAUGAGCAGCGAACGGGUGAGUAACGCGUGGGGAAUCUGCCUUUGAGCGGGGGACAACAUUUGGAAACGAAUGCUAAUACCGCAUAAAAACUUUAAACACAAGUUUUAAGUUUGAAAGAUGCAAUUGCAUCACUCAAAGAUGAUCCCGCGUUGUAUUAGCUAGUUGGUGAGGUAAAGGCUCACCAAGGCGAUGAUACAUAGCCGACCUGAGAGGGUGAUCGGCCACAUUGGGACUGAGACACGGCCCAAACUCCUACGGGAGGCAGCAGUAGGGAAUCUUCGGCAAUGGACGAAAGUCUGACCGAGCAACGCCGCGUGAGUGAAGAAGGGUUUCGGAUCGUAAAACUCUGUUGGUAGAGAAGAACGUUGGUGAGAGUGGAAAGCUCAUCAAGUGACGGUAACUACCCAGAAAGGGACGGCUAACUACGUG